rnacentral:rRNA from 1 species
ACGUAGGGGGCAAGCGUUAUCCGGAAUUAUUGGGCGUAAAGAGUGCGUAGGUGGUUUUUUAAGCGUGAGGUGAAAGGCAAUAGCUUAACUAUUGUAAGCCUUGCGAACUGGAAGACUUGAGUGCAGGAGAGGAAAGUGGAAUUCCUAGUGUAGCGUUGAAAUGCGUAGAUAUGAGGAGGAACACCAGAGGCGAAGGCGACUUUCUGGACUAGAACCGACACUGAGGCGCGAAAGCGUGGAGAGCAAAGAG